rfam:Bombyx mori DNA, contig: Bm_scaf91_contig34567, strain: p50T/Dazao, build 2, whole genome shotgun sequence.
UUAAUUCAAAUUUGUACGGAGUUGGAACGUUUGCCUACAUUUGCCGCUAGGGGCGCUUUUCCAGCUGCAUACAAUAUUGAAUUA